GACGAACGCUGGCGGCGUGCUUAACACAUGCGAGUCGAACGGAGAGGCCCUGCUUUUGUGGGGUGCUCGAGUGGCGAACGGGUGAGUAACACGUGAGUAACCUGCCCUUGACUUUGGGAUAACUUCAGGAAACUGGGGCUAAUACCGGAUAGGAGCUCCUGCUGCAUGGUGGGGGUUGGAAAGUUUCGGCGGUUGGGGAUGGACUCGCGGCUUAUCAGCUUGUUGGUGGGGUAGUGGCUUACCAAGGCUUUGACGGGUAGCCGGCCUGAGAGGGUGACCGGCCACAUUGGAACUGGGAAACGGCCCAGACUCCUACGGGGGCAGCAGUGGGGAAUAUUGCACAAUGGGCGGAAGCCUGAUGCAGCAACGCCGCGUGCGGGAUGACGGCCUUCGGGUUGUAAACCGCUUCCGCCUGUGACGAAGCGUGAGUGACGGUAAUGGGUAAAGAAGCACCGGCUAACUACGUG
rnacentral:rRNA from 1 species